CCUCAAAGAUGUGAAAAUGAGCAGCCACAGCCAGACAGGAAUUAAUUGGUGGAAAAACCUGGCAAGACUGGAUGUUUUUGCGAACAUGUGCAAUUUGCUGGAAAACGAAUCUGAAAUGCCAUGUGUAUCUUGAUAUUUUAACCAGUUAGAGAAAAUUUGAUUAGCUUUCAUUUGAGGGGUGUCCCAUCCUUCAAUGAAAAUUAGGGGAGAAGCUGUGUGAGAAAACAUUAACAUUGUUACCUAUGGGAAAUGUAUUAGUGGACUGUAUCCAGACUGAUGGAUAUGUUGACCCUCUAAGAUGUGAAAAUGAGCUUCUACACCAGACAGGAAUUGGUGGAAAAACUAGCUGGAAAAGGCAAGACUGAUGGAUGUUGACCCUCUUAGAUGUGGAAAUGAACAGCCACAGUUAGACAGGAAUUGGUGGAAGCCCUUCUUAACAACAAGACUUAUCCCUGUGAAGAACUGUCACUGAUCAGUGUGCUUUGAUGACAGUACCCAGUAGGAGACUCAGAUAAAGUCUUGUGGAUGUGCUUGACAUUAUGAAUGACAAGGAGCCCUCAGAAAAUAAAAGUAUUGAAGAGGCAUAUCCUUGUGAUCACAUGUGGAGAAAGACAAAGAUAGAUGACAGAUGUAGAAAGCCAGAUUAUUUUGCAUACACAAGCACAUCCAGUUUACAAUGUUAUAAUCCAAAACAAUUUUUUUUGAAACAUUUGUUUUGGAAAUGGGUGUCUGAGUUGUAAGAGGUAUGGGGUCACCCACUCAGACACGUGGGUUUUCUCCGGGGGCUCCGGUUUCCUCCCACACUGACCCCAUUCUUUUUCU